rnacentral:lncRNA from 1 species
UCUCCCUGCUGGGCCCAGCUGGGGCAGAGGCCGUGGGCAGCAGAGCUGAGGGCAGGCACCUGCAUGUGCUCAUCUGCAUCCUUCCCUUGCCAAAAAUCAGCAUUUCUACCUUCUUGUAAAUGCGAGGGCUCCUGGAGGAUGUGCAUCCCUGCUAGGAGGUUCUGCCUGAUGCUCAGCUUAAUGUAUUCCCUGCACAGUUUUGUGCCAUUAUUCCUAGUUAAACUCUCCUGGAUCACCCAGAACAUGAGGAAUGCGCAGCAGCUUCCCACAGCACAGCAUAAUUAGCUGCUUCAAAAACUACCUGCAAAGAGUGAUGCCCUCAUUAUGCCGAGCAGAGGAGGCUUUGGUGGGGCGAGAUGUCUCCAGGAAGGAGAUGCAUUUCUCUUCAGAGCAAGAGCAAGAGGCAGCCCGGGCCCUCCUGCUGUUCCCUUCAUCACUGGUUUCCUCAGGAGCCUGAAGGCACCUGGCAGAGCCCCAUGAUGGAAGCAAACACCUUGGAGCAUCCAUUACUUCAUGGUGAUUAAAGUAAAACCUCCUGGUUCGUGUGCUGCAGGAAUUAAGCCAGGAAAUAGCCACCAGUGUUGUUUAAAAAUGCUUUAUUUGCUAUUUUGCUGCAAAACAGGUGAGUGGGUGCUGAUUUAGUCAGCCCUGAUGGUGGAGGUUCCUGGGAGCCCAUCACAUUCCCAGCCACCCUCAGCUGGAAUCCUUCCCUGCCACCAUGGGGAGAACAAGCCUGGUCCAUCAGUGGUUCUUUAUUCUCUGAUAAAACAAAGAAGCUGGCCUUGGGUUGAGAGCUGGCCUUGAUUUUUCCCACUUUAUUCCUGGAAUCCAGAGCUGGCCAAGAAGUCUCCAGUGCCUGUCUGUCUGAUCACAACAACCCUUGAUGUUCCUGCGGCGUUUCUCGUCAAGGAUCUCUGAGUGCUCUGCAAACAAAACCUCAGUAAGCCUUCUAUGAGCCCUCUGGGGUGGGUAUUAUGCUCCUGACUUAGCAGAUGAGUAAACAAAGGCACAGCAGCUCAAGUUUUCUGUGUUCAGAGCACUUUGUCAAUAUUACCUGAUUAAUCCUCACACCAGCCUUGCCUGGGGAGCUUUGGGCCCCUUCAGGGGCAGAGCAGAGUCACAGUGGGGAUGUCCUGAGUGCCACUGAUUGGGGUCAGCACACUGAAUAACGGGGUGGUGGCAGCUGAGCCAUGAGUCAGGGAAUGAUGGAAUGUCCAGAGCUGAAG